UACGGAGGGGGCUAGCGUUGUUCGGAAUUACUGGGCGUAAAGCGCGCGUAGGCGGCUUUGUAAGUUAGAGGUGAAAGCCCGGAGCUCAACUCCGGAAUUGCCUUUAAGACUGCAUCGCUAGAAUCAUGGAGAGGUUAGUGGAAUUCCGAGUGUAGAGGUGAAAUUCGUAGAUAUUCGGAGGAACACCAGUGGCGAAGGCGGCUCACUGGUCCAUUACUGACGCUUGAGGUGCGAAAAGCGUGGGGGAGCAAACAGGG
rnacentral:rRNA from 1 species